UGGAUCCAGACUUUGAUCAUGGCUCAGGAUGAACGCUGGCGGCAUGCCUAAGACAUGCAAGUCGAACGAGAUGGCCCAGUGAAGGUUGAGUGCUUGCACAAGACUGAAUCUGGAUUACCAUCUAGUGGCAGACGGGUGAGUAACACGUGGGUGACCUACCUUUUCGUUGGGGAUAACAGUUGGAAACGAUUGCUAAUACCGAAUAAUAUGUAAGAGUCAAUUUUACAUUGAAAGGAGCCUUUAAAGCUUCGCGAUUAGAUGGGCCUGCGGCGUAUUAACUAGUUGGUGAGGUAAUGGCUCACCAAGGUGACGAUGCGUAGCCGAACUGAGGGGUUGAUCGGCCACAUUGGGACUGAGACACGGCCCAAACUCCUACGGGAGACAGCAGUUAGGAAUAUUCGUCAAUGGAGGAAACUCUGAACGAGCAAUGCCGCGUGAGUGAUGACGGUCUUAUCGAUUGUAAAACUCUGUUGUAUGGAAAAAACGACUAGGUUAGGAAAUGAACUUAGUGUGAUGGUACCAUACCAGAAAGCCCCGGCUAACUACGUGCCAGCAGCCGCGGUAAUACGUAGGGGGCGAGCGUUAUCCGGAUUUAUUGGGCGUAAAGCGUGUGUAGGCGGUUUACUAAGUUUAAGAUUAAAGCCUGGGGCUCAACUCCAGUAUGUCUUAAAAACUGGUAGACUUGAGUACGGUAGAGGCAAACGGAAUUUCUAGUGUAGCGGUGAAAUGCGUAGAUAUUAGAAGGAACACCAGUGGCGAAAGCGGUUUGCUGGGCCGUUACUGACGCUGAGGCACGAAAGCGUGGGGAGCAAAUAGGAUUAGAUACCCUAGUAGUCCACGCCGUAAACGAUGAGUACUAAGUGUUGGAGUUUUCCAGUGCUGAAGCUAACGUAUUAAGUACUCCGCCUGAGUAGUACGGUCGCAAGGCUGCAACUCAAAUGAAUUGACGGA
rnacentral:rRNA from 1 species